rnacentral:rRNA from 1 species
UACAGAGGGGGCAAGCGUUAUUCGGAAUUAUUGGGCGUAAAGGGCGCGUAGGCGGCUUGGCAAGUGGAUGGUGAAAUCCCUCGGCUUAACCGAGGAACUGCCGUCCAAACUGCUUCGCUUGAGACCGGGAGAGGUGAGUGGAAUUCCCAGUGUAGCGGUGAAAUGCGUAAAUAUUGGGAGGAACACCAGUGGCGAAGGCGGCUCACUGGACCGGUACUGACGCUGAUGCGCGAAAGCGUGGGGAGCAAACGGG